GCGGGGUUGCCCUAGCCUGGUAGGGGGCAGGCCUGCUAAGCCUGUGGCCGGUUUCGGCCGCGCGGGUUCAAAUCCCGCACCCCGCGCCA
rnacentral:tRNA from 1 species